rnacentral:rRNA from 1 species
UACGGAGGGUGCAAGCGUUAUCCGGAUUUACUGGGUUUAAAGGGUGCGUAGGUGGUUCUGUAAGUCAGUGGUGAAAUCUCCGGGCUUAACUCGGAAACUGCCAUUGAUACUAUAGGUCUUGAAUUAUCUGGAGGUGAGCGGAAUAUGUCAUGUAGCGGUGAAAUGCUUAGAUAUGACAUAGAACACCAAUUGCGAAGGCAGCUCACUACGGAUAUAUUGACACUGAGGCACGAAAGCGUGGGGAUCAAACAGG